CUUUCUUCCCUUCUUCCUCCUCCUCUCCCUUCUACAUACUCAGGUAAUUAAUUCAGGUAUAUGUAUAUAUUCAGGUAAAUUCUUUCUUUUUGUCUCUAUGUAUAUAGACUAGAGAGAGUAAGAGAGGAAAGAGAGAGAGAGAGAUCUCCUAUUGGUUCUUUUUCUCAAGAGAACUGAAUACAGUGACACUGCAAUGAAGUCUCCUCAAAAAAAAAAAAAAAAAAAAAAAAAAGAAAGAAAAGAAAAGAAAAGAAAAGAAAAAGCCAGAACUUUGAACCUGUUGUCUCUUUAUCUAGAGUGCAUUUCCUCAUUUUUUCACCAUUUGAAGGCCUCUUUAGCCAGAAGACCCAUUUCAAAUACGCCACAUUCGAUAAAACUUUCCUGACUCCCUCUGGACAGUUUCCUUGUUCUGUAGCCUGCAUUAGGGUAGCAUUAUAAGCUCUUAAACACAGAGGAUGAUGUUCUGGAGGCCUGGGCAUCAUUUUAACCUUAUCAGCCUCAUAAAAUUCUUCAUAAGUCCUGGCC
rnacentral:lncRNA from 1 species